UGUAGGACAGGCUUGGAAUCUAAUUUCCCAGUGCCCUCCACCCCACCCAAAACCCCCAGUGUCUGGCAAAUCUGACUUAAAUCCCAGAGGCAGAGGCUGAGGACCCAGGCUCCGAUAUUCUGAACACAGGAUGGCUGGCAGCACUAACCCAUGCUGUCUUUUACACAUCUCAGCAGGGAGCUGGUCCCAGAGCAGAAACAACUGGUGAUGAGAUUUGGACUUCAGACAAGCCUAGAUUUGAACCUCACUUCUGCUACAUAUCAGCCAUCUGGCCAUCUGACUUCAUCUCUCUGAGCCCGUUCCCUCAUCUGAAAAACAAACAUUGAUGCCUAAGGGUGGUUAUGAGAAUUGAAUAAAAUAAAGUUUGUAAAGAACUUUGCAAAUAG
rnacentral:lncRNA from 10 species